AAGUCACUUUCAUGAAAGCUUCCAAGAAGAAACCUUUCUGGAAGAUUCAAUUGGGAUAAUGUAUUAUUGUAAAUGAACGCCACUUUCCCCAUCAGUGCUCCAAAAUCCUUUCCCAGGUUGACAAAUUUUCAUUAGCAAGCUUUCUGAUCUUUAAUGGAUUCUUUCUGUUGAUACUUUUUCAAGUCUUUUGCCAUUUUACAGGAACUCAUUCAGAAGCAACCAGUUUCAUUCAUUUAUCGGGAUGACUGGAAUAUAGCUCAAGUGAUAUAAGAACAUCAACGCAUGAUGAAGGUGGGAUGACCCCUUUCAACACAUCAUCUAGUGGUAAUGCUCUGUUUCUUACCCGCCUUGUUUAAGAAAUGAUAGCAUACCUUUAUGUGUCUUUGGGAUGUUCAAGAGACAUUGAGGGUGUCCAUAUGAACCUGAGAGUAAUGGAAUGACCUUAUCUUUACAUCACAGCUGUGAACCUGAGGUUUCAACUUUGUUGCAAUUGACUGGUAAAGUACAUGUCAGAUGAACAUAUGUACAAGCCUGUGUUGCGUAUGGGCUUCUUUCGGCUUUCUGGAUGGGCUUAAGUUUGUUCUUCUCUAUGACUAGCCAUGUUGACCCCAGGUAUUGUUUUUACCUCACUUCCUUUAUAAAUAUGGAGACUCAUAUUGCAUUAUUCCCUUGAAGAGAUAUUUCAAGUAGAUUUUUUGUUAAUGAUGUGCAUUUUUCUCUUGCAUCCAUCUGAUUAGAUUUACCAAAACCAAUUAGAGCUCAAAUCCCUUAUGAGCCCAACAAAUACUUCUAAAAUCCCUUAAUUUUUAGCAAGUCAAAUUGUUCAACUUCUUUGUCCCAUUGGCCAUUUCGUCUAUGAUCAUGGUCUAACCUCUGUUACUGCGAACCUAAAAUAUUUAUUUGUUACUUAAAGUUGUUCAACUUCUUUGUCCCGUUGCUUUGUGUUUUCAGUUUUGUUUUCCAACGUACAGAUUAAAUUCAUUGUCUGUUAGCUUUGAAUUGUCAAGUAGUACUUAAAAGGCAAGGUCAGACGGUGAAAGAAAGUAGGGAAGCAAUGGAUGGACGGGUAGGCUUUAGACUCUGGAAAGAGCACAGAAACAAAACAACUAAAAAUUUGCCGAUAACACAGAAAUCGAGAUUUGUUUCUGCGCUCUUUUCUACCUUGCCUCUCUUGCGUCUUUUUGCCUUCUAUCUAUCUAUAGUUUUCUCUCUCUCAACCCACCCAGAGAGCACAUGAUCUUUUCUUAAACCCAGCUCUCUUUGUGAAAGAAACAGAAACCCAAUUCACAUGCAGCUCCUAUGAACCAAAAACAGCAGACCCCCUUUAUCAUAUGCUUUUAGUCGUCUAGUAUUUGUACUCAUCAUACAACUACUAUAUGCUAAGAGAGAUGGACCAAGGACUUGUCUUUCUUAACCAUCAUGACAAAAAGCUAGGGAAGUAGUAUCAUGUAUAUAUGUGUAUAGAAAAGAAAGGAGGAAGCCUCUCAUGCGUCCUUCUCGAUGGGAGGAAAGUGGCAUUCAUUGAUAUUUAAUAUAUAACAUGAAUUGACAACUGAAUUUGGAGGAGUACACAUAUUGAAAGAGAAACAAUGGAGGGAGAGAGUACUAUCCAUCCUCGCCUCUUGUUUUUUUUCCGAAACAUCCAAAACAAUGCAUUAAAAUUGUAACAGUUCACGAAUCGAGCAGAGUUGGCUCAAGUUUGGCUCGUUAGUUUUAAGGCGAGCUCGAGUUAGAAAAUUUUAGCUCAUGUCGAACUCGACUGUUCGAGCCUAUUCCAGUUUGGCUCGUUAACUAAACUUAAGGAGCCAAACUCUAGCUCAACCCGAACUUCGCUCAUUCACAAGCUUCAUGAUGAGUCCAAUUUGAGCUGAAUUUGAAAAUUGUACACUAAAAAACAUCGACGAGCCAAAGCUAAAAUCCAAGGAAUUUUAAAAUUUACAAGUUUCUCAUUUUUUCAAUGAAAAUAGUUAAACCAUGUAGUAUUUUCAUUUUCAUCAACACAAUAAAAAAAUACAUAUUAUUUAUUUGUAUAUGGUAUUCGAGCAGAUACACGUUGCAUUAUUGAGUCUACUAACAAACCAUAUACUCGAGCUGGUAUUCGAAUUGGGUCUCGAGUUUGAGCCCGAGCCAGCUCGUAAUCCUAUAUCAUCAAACAUAUUUUGACUCAAGUUUGGCUCAUUUAUCGAGUCGAAUCACUAAUGAGCUUUUAUCGAGCGGAACAUCAAGCUGCUUAGCUCGUCGACACAAAACCAAAAAUUGAUAACAACUUUUAAAAGCCAAUAAUUGCAGAGGCAGGCUGGCAACGACUCCUUCUGCCUUCUGAGCAACAACGGUCAAUGUAGUGUUUGAAAAGGGUGGGUUUAUAGUACAACGCCUGCCUGUGGCUGGGGCUGGCUACGCAGUAUGCAUCCUCCUUUACUCGUCAAGUCUCAGCAGUGUACACAGUAUUCGUUUGGUGAGGGUUUGGGCACGACAAAGAGAGAGAGGCUUGCUUCUUCCUUUUUCCCUGAGAGUCCUCUCUCUAUGCACCUGUCAUGCAUUGCCGCCCUAUAUUUCCACCAGCUGUAACUCUCCUGCUCCAAUGCUUAUGAUACAUCCAUGUCUGUAGCCUUCUGACCCGCUAGUUAAGCUAUUGUUUAGCCUUUCUCUCUUUCUAUCUCGCAAGUCUCUUUCCUCUUAGCUGUCUAUCAGCGUGGUGCUUCCCUUUUAAUUUACUGUUCCGAGAAGUGGGUUUACUGCCUUUAUUGCUUUUUCAUCGAACUCCUUUUAACACGUUCGCUUCCUUCUUUGGUCCUUCCUCUAUAUAUUUUACUCAACUCCCUUCAUCCAAUUCUAUGGAGCCCCAAAACAUAACUACCAUCAUCUUUAUCCCCUUUUCUCAUUGUCCAUGCUAUUUGAGUUGUUUUGGAAACGAUAAUCCUAAUAGCACUUCUGUAUUGUUAUUAUUUUGAAACAUUUCACUUCAUUCAUCGUUUGCGUCUUUACACUAGGAAAAUGGAUCUCCUUUCUGAUCUGUUGAAAUGUAUUUCCUUUACUUCGGUUGUCUGUUUUCUUUCUACCAAUUCUGGACGAGUUAGGAGAUUAGAGAUCCAUAUCUGGUUGGUUCUUGUCUGUGUUUCUUUUGAUCUUUUCCAUCUUACUCCAGUGUCAAUAUAAAGAAAACAGUUAAGAGUAUAUCUACUUAUUACUUCUUCAGUGCAAGUAAAGUCUAGUAUGAUUUCUGAAUGAUUUCCUUGUUCUGGUUGGAUAAUUUGAGGCUUCCAUCUUUAGCUCAGUUGAAACUCGUAUUAUUUUUUGAUUUUAGCGGAUUUAACUGCAUUUUUGUUUUCUGAUUUGAGGUGGGGUUUUAUGUUUGGAAAAUAUGAUUUUAUUCAUGAAAGAGAUUCUCAUGUUCCUGUUAAUGUUAUUUCCCAUUUAUGUAUAUUGUCGAGGCUUGUGAGUUGAGUUGAUGUCGUGUGAGGAAGAAGAAAUUGUCCACAAGGGAAGCAGUGAAGCUGCCAGCAUGAUCUAGCUUUGGCUAGUUUGCAACGAAAGUAAAAUGAGAUAGUAGUAGUGAGCUAGCCCUAGCUAGGUCAUGCUAUGACAGCCUCAUUCCUUCCCAAUGUGGGGGACCCCAAUAGACCAAGAUUCUCAUCUUUUUUACACUGUUCAGUCACUUCUUGGAAUGUUUUGAACGAGACAGAAAACAAAGUCGAAGAAAUAAUAAAUCACUGUAAAGUAUAUUCCUUAUCUUUUGCAUCUCCUUCCAUGGUGUUGUCUGGCAUGCGCUUACUUGCUUUCAACUGUUUUUAUUCUCACCACUGUGUUGUAUCAGUUGGUCCAAUGUUCGUCAAUUUGUGUGUUUACUUCGGUUUCUGAAGGAAAUAUCAAAUAGUGGAGUGGAUAUUAUCGCAGGAAUUAAGAAGCCAGUGAUAGAAACCAAACCAAUGGAAGCAGGAUACAAAUAGGAUCCCAAGGAGUGAAGUCUGUUCUAUCUGCUCGUUAACUUUGCUGAAGGAAGUUCCUCUCAGUUUCACCAUUUUGCACAGUCGUAGUAGGUGGUUGUUUAUUUGCUGAAGAACUGGUAAUUCUUUGCACCUUUUUAGCAGUUAGUUAUAGAUAAAACAAAUUGUAUAUAGACAUUACAGUUUGUACAUAAAUCUAGUGACCAAUCUGGUUAUGUGACUUCUUCUGCCAUUUCCCUAAUAUAUGAGGAUGUACCACCAAUAAGGUUGAUUCGUAUUUGGUGAACGUACACUCGGUCUACCAAUAUCCCUGAUUUUUAAUGCCUUUUUUAUUUUCCCGAAAAUAAUUUAAUUUGAAAAAAGAAAAUGCUUAAUUAUCACUUGACUUAAUUUCAAUUAGUAUUAGGUCAUGUUUAAUUUUAGCUUUUCAUUUUAAUAUUUGGUGUUGGUUUUUUCAUGUUUGAACAUCUAGAUAUUAACAUCCCACUUACAAAUCAUUUUAAUAUUUUUAUGUGAAUUUACGAAUUGAU
rnacentral:lncRNA from 1 species